GCUCGUAGGCGGUUCGUCGCGUCGGCUGUGAAAACCCGGAGCUCAACUCCGGGCCUGCAGUCGAUACGGGCGGACUCGAGUUCGGCAGGGGAGACUGGAAUUCCUGGUGUAGCGGUGAAAUGCGCAGAUAUCAGGAGGAACACCGGUGGCGAAGGCGGGUCUCUGGGCCGAUACUGACGCUGAGGAGCGAAAGCGUGGGGAGCGAACAGGAUUAGAUACCCUGGUAGUCCACGCCGUAAACGUUGGGCGCUAGGUGUGGGAGCCAUUCCACGGUCUCCGUGCCGCAGCUAACGCAUUAAGCGCCCCGCCUGGGGAGUACGGCCGCAAGGCUAAAACUCAAAGGAAUUGACGGGGGCCCGCACAAGCGGCGGAGCAUGUUGCUUAAUUCGAUGCAACGCGAAGAACCUUACCUAGGCUUGACAUGCACGGAAAUCUCGCAGAGAUGCGGGGUGCCUUUGGCGUCGUGCACAGGUGGUGCAUGGUUGUCGUCAGCUCGUGUCGUGAGAUGUUGGGUUAAGUCCCGCAACGAGCGCAACCCCCAUCUGCAGUU
rnacentral:rRNA from 1 species